CCCCGGGGCGUCGCGUGCAGGGUGGUGUGGUGUGAAUUGUUUGCGUUGCGCGACACUGUGGCUGUUGUUGUUGCGCUGAUCAGCUGAACGCAUGAUUGCGCUUCUAGUUUGACAAGCAGGAGGGGAAGCCCUGUUGGCUCGCGAGCGUCCAAAUAACACCGAGAGAGGCGUCAGCAGCGAUUCCGUUUGACAAGCGAUGGGAUGCGGACCACGGCACGCUGCCCUGGAGAGUAAAUGGCCACAGCAACGCCAACAGCUGUGUCAGGGCUAGUGAAGUUCUUACAUGCUACAAGCUGAAGAUGGGAGACAAAUAGGUCUUAAAGAAUUAUUCAAUGUCAGCAGAGAAAGUGCCUCAAAAGCAUCUUGAGACAUUCUUUGCCAAGCCCCAUUGCCAGGCAUCAGCCCAAAAGACACAAAAAGAUGAAUUUCACCAAGGCUGUUUGUGAACAGGAGAGGCGACAUUUAAAACAAAACCAGCACUCACAUAUAAGGCGGCUGCAUACUGACAUGGUUUAAUUAUGCCUUUCUCAGUUAAGACACCAUCCGGUAUCUUAUAUUAAUUAUGGCAUAAUACAAUUAGCCCCCUAAAGCAAGUAUAAAGUCUUUUUCCCUAUCGGAAGAGUAUUGAUGCAAUGAUGUUUAUCGGAUUGAUCCUCAAAGCAGCACUCCCAUUGCAUCUUUGAGGCCUCCUCCCCACAUCCUAUGGAGGCGGAGGAAAAGCAGUCGGCCGAUGGAGUGCGGUCUGGUGGGCAACAGCAGCCAUCAGAGUCUUUGUUAGCAGCGCAGCUGCCUCAGUUACAGCAACAAACUACCUCACAAUCUGUCCAUGGAUCACGUGGCCGCCCUCAACACAGGCAGCCAAAACGCUUUGAAAUGCUUCAAAGGCAGAAGCAGCAGCAACAGUCACAGGCGGGUGGAUCAUCUUGGCAGCUUUCAGAAGUACCUGGUCCUUCAAGAGGCAGCUGUUCUGCCCUGGGAGAUCCAUCUCCCCAAAUUCAAAGUGUUAAGCAAACUCAGUCUCUGCACAGUGUGGAAUUACAGGAAGGCACCCCAUGUAGACGAGAACGUAAACCCCAAAAACCAGGGAAAUAUGUGUGCACAUACUGCGGCCGUCCUUGUGCUAAGCCUAGCGUCCUCCAAAAACACAUCCGAUCUCACACUGGAGAGAGACCUUAUCCAUGUGUUCCAUGUGGCUUUUCCUUCAAGACCAAAAGCAACUUGUACAAACACCGCAAAUCCCAUGCGCAUCGAAUAAAAGCUGGCAUGGCCUCAAGUCGUGAAGAAACCAGUUUCAUUGGGCCGGAAGGUGGAGCCUUAAGAGAUGAGCAAGAGGAGGGUACAGAAGGAGAGAGUUCAGGUUCUGAGGAUGAGACGGGGCAACACCAACCAUCUACCUCACAGGGCAGGCCAACUCUGAAGAAAAGCAGUAAAGUGGAAUUGUCAUUUAUAGAGGAGGGUCCCCAAACUGAGGAUUCACAGGCAAUCAAGCAAAGGUUAGCUAUGAGGCUAAGCGAGAGGAAGCGAGCUCCCAGAGCAUCUUCAGAUGAAACGCGAUCCUCACUGGGUCCCGGCAGCAAGGGGAGCACAGAAUCUGGCUAUUUUUCCAGUUCUGGGAGUGCUGAGCUUUCUCAAGUGAGCCCACCAAAUGCCAGUGCUAAAACAUAUGCUGAGAUAAUUCUAGGAAAGUAUGGACGCUUAGGACAACAGCAACGAAUUUCACAUCAACAACUGCAAUUAUCAUCAUCUUCAGGUCAACAGGAAAAAUCAAUCCCUUUCACUGUUCCUAAGACACAAGUCAUUGAGCAUAUAACUAAGCUAAUUACUAUAAAUGAAGCCGUGGUGGAUACAAGUGAAAUUGAUAGUGUCAAACCAAGGCGUUCUUCACUCUCUAGAAGAAGUAGCAUAGAGUCUGUAAGAUUCUCUUCACCCAAAGAACCCUGUGUUCUUGAACCAAAAGCGGAUGCCCCAAGCUCUUGUGGCGCUGCUGUUCAACUUAUUCCUGGUACUUUUGCAAGUGAAUUACCUGGCUCAUACUUGGCUGAAACAGAAACACUGACUGGUCAGAGCUCCAGUGCUCUUCUUUAUAGGAGUCAAUCAGUGCCAUCUUCUCGUAAUACUUCAGAUACAGCUUCACGCGGCUUUCGUUUAAGUCAUUCUUUUGAUGAUCAGCAGGCCAUAGCAGCUGAAAUGAGGAUUGGGCCACAUCAACGUAUGUUACGACGCCAACCAGCUAUUGAGGUGCCAGUUGGAGUGGACCUCAUUAAUGAGGAUGCAGGUCCUUCUUCUAGUUUGAAAGAAGUAGAAUCGGGAAAGAAACAAAAUAAGGAAUUACACCUUUAUGAGUGUGAAAUUUGUGGCACUCACUUGAAUAAGAACUCUUACACCGCACACAGAUUAGUGUGUACGAGUAAAUCUCCACACUGUCUGCAAAGUGAGGAAGGCAGUUAUUUUAUUGAGAAUCAGCCACAGAUUAUGAGCUACAAGUUCAAAGCAAUGGCCAUGGCUGUGCGCAAAAGGAAAAAAAAAGAAGAAAGUCUUGAGGAAGACCCUCCCAGUCCAGGUCCAACAGCAGUGUCUUUCAGCUCCCAGCCUCCAUCAAUGCUAGGCAGUAUUGAUAAUCAGGGCACACCUCAUGGCCUUUCACAGAGCGAGGUAGAAAAAAGGAGUUCCUGGAAAGAAAUUUCUGUUAUCCAGCACACCAGAUCCUUUGAAAAACAGGAAAGCAUCUCUAUGGCAAAUCAGGAAGCAGAGUCAGAACACGAGCAAUCACAGGAGCCAAAACCAAUCUCUACAUCGCGGUUAAUUCGUCAACAUAACAUUCAAGUGCCAGAAAUUCUUGUUACAGAGGAGCCAGAUACCGAGAUGGUCAUUCAUCCAGCGUGCACGUACACCUCUAAAGAGUCAGAAAAAGUGGAGGAAUUCCAGUGGCCUCAGCGUAGCCAAAGUAUGGCUCAGCUCCCUGCAGAGAAGCUACCACCAAAAAAGAAGCGUCUCCGUUUAGCUGAGGCAGCCCAAUCAUCAGGAGAAUCUAGCUUUGAGUCAGUAUCCUUGCCACACAGCCCAAGCCAAGAGAGCAAUGUUUCCCAUGCCUCCAGUCGAUCUGCAUCCUUUGAGGAAUCUGGAAGGCCAGACACAGAGAUGCAAAGUGGUACCUGGAUCUCCCAAGGCUCUCACAUGCUGACUGUUCCAUCAAGUCUUCAUCAGCACCAUCAUUCUCACAGAGAGAUGCGCCGCUCAACCUCUGAACAGGCAACUGCAAGUCCUUCACACCCUGCACAUGUAGAGGAAACAAGAAGUAAGUCAUUUGACUAUGGCUCCCUCUCUCAAGAGCGCACUUUUGCUUCUUGGAAGGAGAGGAGGAAAUGUCUCUUGGUGAAGCACGGAACCCUUGGUGAACCUGAUCAGGAGGAGCCAUGUACUAAACCUGGCAUCUCCACUGUUUGCCAGUCCUACUUAGGUCAUCCUCCAUUCAAAUACACAGAGCAUAGAAUGGAAGGCAGGAUCCCUAGGAUUAGCUCAGAUCAUAUAGGGAAGACCCUGCAGCUCAUCCAAUCCCCUCUUUCACUCCCACCAUCAGUUUUCCCCCUACAACAAGCAAACCCAGAUUUUUGUUCCCCAAGUCAGCUCUCUAGAUUCCUUCCAGUCACAACAGCAGUAAUUUCUACCCAGAUGUUUCAGCAAGCCUUCCUUCACAGUGAGCCACCUCCACCACAUCCAAGACCCAUAGAAUAUGUAGAGCGCCUGGGAUUACCCCUUCAACCACUCACUACUUUAUUCCCGCUACAAUCCAGUGAUGUUGCUCAGGCUGUUUGCUUUCCCAUGCCAGGUGGUCUGACUAUUCAGGUUCCCUCGGGGCCGCUUUUCAGUGAGUCUAGGUCAUCACCUUCCUCCUUGCAUACUCCCAGUCAUUCACAACAGCAGCUAGUCACCCGCCACAACCCCCGUCCUGUGAUUGCCCCUUGCCUUCAACAGCUAAUGCCAAUGGUGUCUCUUGUAGUGCCUGUGCGCUUACAGACUCACAUUCCUACCUAUGCUAGUGCCAUGUAUACAACCAUCUCACAAAUUUUAGCCACAACGCAACAUCCAGUCUGCUGCACAGCUAUGGUAAUCAUGGGUAAGCUGGAGGGAGACAAGCUUCAGAGAUCUUACCUUAGGCUGCCCUCGCCUAGCCCCAAGAGCUAUAUUCCCUUGCCUCUCCCUAUUGAGCAUGGAGCAGUUGCUUCAUCUGAUGAUAGCUGUGGACACCUUGGUGCUGGAGGAAGUAAGCGAAUGCUGUCACCUGCAGGUAGUCUAGAACUCAGUUUAGAGGCACAACGGCAUCAAAAACGGGUGAAAGAGGAGGAGGAGAAAGAAGAGUGCAACAAGGAAGAUGACGUUAACAAAUGUGACAAUAAAUCUCAGGAGGUAGGUCAGGGAAAAAUUAACAAGAGGCUAACAGUGGAGACAGCGGGGAGGGCCAAAGAUCCAAGAGAAGUACCUGAAAGAGAAAAGUUAAUCAAACAGGACUUAACCCAACACAAAUCUGAGACCUUGAAGGAAGAGGGAAGGAAAGAGGCAGGAGAUCGGUAUGCUCCAAGGGUAACAAGUCCAGAGAGAACCAUGGACCCCUCAUACCCCAGUCUGCAUACCACUACAUCCGUCAGCUGGUGCUACUUGAAUUAUACAAAGCCCAACCCCUCUACACACAGAGAUUCAACUUCUGUCUAUUCCUCGUGGAGUGUUAGCAUGCAUAACCCCAAUAUACCUGGCUUGUCCACCAAAAUAUUACUGUCCCUGCUGCACUCCAAACAGAAAUAUAGUGCUGAGACAUACACUUUGGCUACAGCUCCACCGUCAACCACUGACAAGCUGGUUCCUACUGACGGCAAGACAACUAGUGCAUCAGAGGUAUGUGCUUCUCCACCCAACACACCCAUCAAAGUAAAAGAGGAACCAACAAAUGAACAGGGCGAUAAAGAGAAGAAGAGUGCUGAUGACAUGCCCACUACUUCGACUCAAAGUGAGACGGCACGUAUUCGCAUUUUUGAAGGCGGGUAUAAGUCAAAUGAGGACUAUGUGUAUGUUCGGGGUCGAGGGAGAGGAAAGUAUGUGUGUGGAGAAUGUGGGAUUCGCUGCAAGAAGCCCAGCAUGCUAAAAAAGCACAUUCGCACUCAUACAGACGUCCGUCCUUAUGUCUGUAAGCACUGCAACUUCGCCUUUAAAACCAAAGAAUACCCUUUCCUAAAAGGGAACCUUACCAAACACAUGAAGUCCAAGGCCCACGGCAAGAAAUGCCUGGAGAUGGGUGUGUCAGAGUCAUCUGUGGAUGAGCUGGAGUCUGAGGAAGCAGGGGGCAGUGAGGAGCGAGUGUGUGAGUCAGAAGAACAGGAGGAGCACCAGUUUUCUGAUGUUGAAGAUUCUGAAGCAGAAGAUGAUGAGGAUGAGGAAGAAGACUUCUCUUCCCACGAUGAACCAUCUUCAGCCUGUUCCACUGAUACUCGUCAAUCCACAGGUGACCUUUCUGAAAGUGGCCAAGGCCCACAGACCGAGCCCUCUGACCCUGCAGCCAAAGAGGAACACUCCUCACCCCACAGACCAUGGCCUGGCAUACGAGCCUCGUCUCCAGGCAGCAAGAGGGCGUUGUUCUCCCGCAAGGGCUGGGAGGUUUCCCCGAGGACCUUCUCCCCUAGCAGUGAAGGCUCUCCCCUUAGAAGCCUGUCUCCAAGGCUUGAACUGUCCUCACCCAGCCGUCAUCUCUCUCCUUCCCCAGAGAGGGGUCCGUCACCCAUCAGAGCCCUCUCCCCUCUCUCACCUCUCUCACCUCUGAGGCCUGUAUCCCCGGCACGGUACAGGAGAGCAAGAGCCAUCUCCUCUCAUACGCCCCUAAAGCCCCAGCAUCGGCCGCACAGCUCACCCGCAGGGCUCCACUGGGAGCCUAGCACACCAGCUACUGAGCGUCAAAAGGACAAGCCUGGUACUCAGCCAACUCUACAGGAGCAUAUGCCCCUGGAUCCCUGCCUGCUUUCCCCAUCCCUACGCUUCUCUCCAAGUGAGUCUUUCCCUCCGAGUCCAGGGAUGCUACGAACAGUGGACCGCAUGUUUAGCCACCUUCCUUUACACUCCCAAGAUCAAGUCCGCAUGCCCUAUCACAUGAUACCCAUUGGGGGCAUCCAAAUGGUGCAGCUCAGACCCCGAGCACGCCCCAAACUGGAACGACAGUCAUCCUCCACCCCUUCGCCCACCUCUCCCAAAGAGGACUCCCCUUUUUCCCUCACCAGGAGGGAUUAUCCAUGGAUCUCGUUUCCGGAAACCAGUCCGCAAAGGACUCUGGCGAACACCAGGACAAAAAGCCAAGAUGACGGAGCCAGCCGGUCUGACCUGUCUUGUCCCAGUACAAGCUCGACGUUACCCAAACUUCUCCCUUCACAACACGGUGGAGGGGAGCAAUGGACUGCAAAGGUCAGAAAGCAAUAUGGCGACUCGAGCUCCGCCACAAAGACUUGCACCUCCGGUCCCGAAACAUCCAGGAAAGCGGCGGCAGACAGCGAUGAAGGAGUUGAGAGGAUCUCACGGGGGGAAGUAGCGAGUUCCUCUUGUGAAACGGAAAAGCCUGUAGCGGCGCCACUCAGGGGACGUGGCUCUUUUUCAGAAGGAUGUUCAGGAUCUGGCAGUGCUCCUCAGAGCCAGGACGGUGAUCCAGAUAGCACUUAAAAGCCUCUGUGCACAGUGGUGAAAUGCUUUCUACUGCUAAUACUACUAUUGUUUUUUUUUGUUUUUUUUGUAAUGCGCUUAUUUUUAUAUAUACAACAUUUUCAAUACUAUUGGUAACUUGGUAAAUGUAAAUGUUUGUUCUGCAAUAUUCAAGAUUGUAAUAUGAUGCACUUUUUUUUUCUUGGAAAAAAUAUUUCUGUAAAUGGAUUUCGUCUGUCCCUUCUGUAUCUUUAUUGACAUUGCAAUCUUAAUAUAUCUAUUUCAAUAUGUAUAUGUUAAAAAAAAGAGAGAGAGAGAGAGAAAAAACUUGUACUUGCAAAAUAUUACAAAUUGGUAUGAUUACAUUUCUAAAUGACCAAGAUGAAAACUUAAAUCAAGAGUAAUUCCAAUAUUUCGUCUCUUGUCCAGUAUUGCGCAAAUUCUAGUGAUGUGUGCCUUUUUCUGUCCAGAUAUACUGCUUGAAGUGUCAAAGAUAAAAAGCUCUUUCUUUUUGUGAAUAUAGAUUUUUUUUUUUGUGUGUGUUUUUAAUAUGAGCUGGUAUUUGAAGAAGCAAAAGGAUUUUCUUUAUACAAUAGGGUAAACGAGAGAGACGUUGCUGUUAUAUAGACAAGAAACAAAGGUUUCGGCGGCAAGCCUUGCAGGGAAAUUGCACUGACGUCAUAUUUUUUAUAAUACAAGUGAUUAAAUGAUUAGAUAAAUUGUCUCUGUACAGAUAGAAAGUCUAUGGUCCAUAUUUAUUGCCAUGUGAAAAUAUGAAAAUGCCUAUGUUUUGUUUACUUUGGUUUUCAAAGGGAUUUCUAUUGUCAUUUUUAUUAUUAUUUACACUUUUUGUUAAUAGUUUUUUUUUUUUAGUUAUGACCUCAAGACUUGAAAUGAAGAAACUGGACAGGCUUUUCAGUGAAGUCGGUCAAUAGCCGAAGUUCUGAGUGGAUCAGGUGCCCUCCAAAUUUGUCAGACAUUUUACAUUUCUGAACCAAUAAAGGGACCUGAGCAGGUGGACU